AUAUGAUACAUUAAGAACAACCAUUACGAAUGCAGCAUUAAUUGUUAUGAUUAACAAUGCAUAUUCCCAAAAGCAACUUUCUACGAUAAAAGAAUUUGCACUGGAAUUAUAUUUGAGUACUAAAAAUAAGUUAAAGAUACGUUCUGAACAACUGGUCAGUCAGGUGAAAUUUUAUGAAGAUAUAUAUGCAAAGAUUGCAAAGCCUUAAUACAUUUAACUAUAUCACUAAAAGUUUAACUUCAACAAAUACACCAACAAUAUU